UUCCUUCCCAAAACUGAAACCCAAAGUCAGUGAGAGCAACCGUUGUAAAUCUCCAAGAAACUCGAUCAUCUUCCUUUCCAAAAGCUGAAACCCGAACUCAGUGAGAGCAACCGUUGUCAAGAACAGAAGAAACUCGAUCAUCUUUCUUCCCAAAAGCUGAAACCCUAAGUCAGCGUGGUUUAUGAGAGGAAUCCACGGAAGUGGCCGUUUAAUGCUUUCCCAAAUUUCAGAAUGAAUUCAAUACCCAUAUCCAGAACUAAUUCAUAU